rfam:Anaerobacillus sp. NB2006 Ga0137927_1202, whole genome shotgun sequence.
UGGGUAGUAUCUUAUGAACUGCACCAACAUGAAUGCAUAAUAAAAGAUUUUAACUUAAAAUUGUCUGCCUUGAUCCGUAUGGACUAGGACAGAGGG